GAACUUGAGAAAACGAGAGAAUUUGGAAGUUGUUCGCGAGAGACUGAAAAUGACAUAAGAGAGCGAAUGGCUGGCCCCUCCUCUAUUUAUACUCAUCCGAGCAUUUAAUGCUCACUCUGUCCUAGGCGGCGCAUCGGUUAACGGGAUUCGCCAGCUGUUUCUGACAUUUCCCAAGAAUAUUCUAGAUACCUCACAAAGAGAUCGGCUAGGUAAGGAUCGGCGGAUUAAAAGGGAUAUUUUGAAUUGCAGAUCGGAUAAGUGUCAUUCAGG
rnacentral:misc_RNA from 1 species